rnacentral:lncRNA from 1 species
CCAUGAGAUAUUCUAGUUGCUGCUGAGUGUUUGGAUAAUAGUGUUGUGCCAUGGGUCAGAGAGGUGCUGCAGAAGGUUGUCAAAAGGUCCCUUUCCAGUGACAUUGUGCUGCACUAUGAAUCCCAAAAAUGCCAGCAUAGCCAAUCUCCCUGCAAAUGAUCCCAGUUGAAAAUGAGCCUAAUUCAAGUAUAUAGAUAAAUAUGUAGUGUCAUUUAGAAAGUGAACAUCCGUUUAAAUGACUUACCGUUAGCAAGUUCCUUCUCCUUGGCCUCUUCAGUUGCUGCAAAGUUGAGUGGGUUGAAAAUACCACCAGGGUAUCCACAUUCAUUAGGAGGCAAGCUGUAGUUCUUGAAGAUAGGGUCUUGGUUGACACAUCCUGGGUUCUUAAUGUCUUGCCACCUUCUGAUCUCGACGUAGUGGAACAAGA